AUUGAACGCUGGCGGCAGGCCUAACACAUGCAAGUCGAGCGGGGUUUUCGGACCUAGCGGCGGACGGGUGAGUAAUGCGUAGGAAGCUACCCGAUAGAGGGGGAUACCAGUUGGAAACGACUGUUAAUACCGCAUAAUGUCUACGGACCAGAGUGUGGGACCUUCGGGCCACAUGCUAUCGGAUGCGCCUACGUGGGAUUAGCUAGUUGGUGGGGUAAUGGCUCACCAAGGCGACGAUCCCUAGCUGGUUUGAGAGGAUGAUCAGCCACACUAGAACUGAGACACGGUCCAGACUCCUACGGGAGGCAGCAGUGGGGAAUAUUGGACAAUGGGCGCGAGCCUGAUCCAGCCAUGCCGCGUGUGUGAAGAAGGCCUUCGGGUUGUAAAGCACUUUCAGCGAGGAGGAAGGGAGUUGUGUUAAUAGCACAGCUUUUUGACGUUACUCGCAGAAGAAGCACCGGCUAACUCUGUGCCAGCCGCCGCCGUAAAAC
rnacentral:rRNA from 1 species